rnacentral:rRNA from 1 species
UACGGAGGAGGCAAGCGUUAUCCGGAAUUAUUGGGCGUAAAGCGUCCGUAGGUGGCUCUUCAAGUCUGCUGUCAAAGAGUGGGGCUUAACCCUGCAAAGGCAGUGGAAACUGAAAGGCUAGAGAGCCGUAGGGGUAGAGGGAAUUCCCGGUGUAGCGGUGAAAUGCGCAGAUAUCAGGAGGAACACCGGUGGCGAAGGCGGGUCUCUGGGCCGAUACUGACACUGAGGAGCGAAAGCGUGGGGAGCGAACAGG